GACGAACGCUGGCGGCGUGCUUAACACAUGCAAGUCGAACGGAAAGGCCCUGCUUUUGUGUGGUGCUCGAGUGGCGAACGGGUGAGUAACACGUGAGUAACCUGCCCUUGACUUUGGGAUAACUUCAGGAAACUGGGGCUAAUACCGGAUAGGAGCUCCUGCUGCAUGGUGGGGGUUGGAAAGUUUCGGCGGUUGGGGAUGGACUCGCGGCUUAUCAGCUUGUUGGUGGGGUAGUGGCUUACCAAGGCUUUGACGGGUAGCCGGCCUGAGAGGGUGAACGGCCACAAUGGGCCUGAGGUACGGCCCAGACUCCUACGGGAGGCAGCAGUGGGGAAUAUUGCGCAAUGGGCGGAAGCCUGAUGCAGCAACGCCGCGUGCGGGAUGACGGCCUUCGGGUUGUAAACCGCUUUCGCCUGUAACGAAGCGUGAGUGACGGUAAUGGGUAAAGAAGCACCGGCUAACUACGUG
rnacentral:rRNA from 1 species